rnacentral:rRNA from 1 species
AGUGAACGCUGGCGGUAGGCCUAACACAUGCAAGUCGAACGGCAGCACAGUAAGAGCUUGCUCUUACGGGUGGCGAGUGGCGGACGGGUGAGGAAUACAUCGGAAUCUACUUUUUCGUGGGGGAUAACGUAGGGAAACUUACGCUAAUACCGCAUACGACCUACGGGUGAAAGCAGGGGAUCUUCGGACCUUGCGCGAUUGAAUGAGCCGAUGUCGGAUUAGCUGGUUGGCGGGGUAAAGGCCCACCAAGUCGACGAUCCGUAGCUGGUGUGAGAGGAUGAUCAGCCACACUGGAACUGAGACACGGUCCAGACUCCUACGGGAGGCAGCAGUGGGGAAUAUUGGACAAUGGGCGCAAGCCUGAUACAGCCAUACCGCGUGGGUGAAGAAGGCCUUCGGGUUGUAAAGCCCUUUUGUUGGGAAAGAAAAGCAGCAGGUUAAUACCCCGCUGUUCUGACGGUACCCAAAGAAUAAGCACCGGCUAACUUCGUG